GCGUUGAAACACCUGUUCGCGUAUGAUCACCGAAGUUAAGCAACAUUAAGCCUGGUCAGUACCCAGAUGGGUAAACACUUGGAAAUAUCAGAUGCU